GGGAGUAAAAGUCGUAACAAGGUUUCCGUAGGUGAACCUGCGGAAGGAUCAUUAUUGGAUUUUGAAACUUCAGGCUGCUGCUGGCUCUCCUCGGAGGGGAUGUGCAGGCUUGUUGUCCAUUAUUUCUCCCACUGUGCACAAAUUGUAGACCUUUCCGUAGGCCUAUGUUGUUUUUCACAAUCUCUGAAUGUAAUAGAAUGGUUUUGAAUCUUGGGAAAUACAAUACAACUUUCAGCAACGGAUCUCUUGGCUCUU
rnacentral:misc_RNA from 1 species